GUGUCAGCCGCCGCGGUAAUACGUAGGGGGCAAGCGUUGUCCGGAAUCAUUGGGCGUAAAGCGCGUGUAGGCGGCCUUGUAAGUCCGUUCUGAAAGUCCGAGGCUCAACCUCGGGAGGCGGAUGGAUACUGCAAGGCUCGAGUCCGGAAGAGGCGAGUGGAAUUCCCGGUGUAGCGGUGAAAUGCGCAGAUAUCGGGAGGAACACCAAUGGCGAAGGCAGCUCGCUGGGACGGUACUGACGCUGAGACGCGAAAGCGUGGGGAGCAAACAGGAUUAGAUACCCUUGUAGUCC
rnacentral:rRNA from 1 species